rnacentral:rRNA from 1 species
ACAGAGGGGGCAAGCGUUGUUCGGAAUUACUGGGCGUAAAGGGCGCGUAGGCGGCCUGCUAAGUCGAACGUGAAAUCCCCGAGCUCAACUCGGGAACUGCGUCCGAUACUGGUUGGCUUGAAUCCGGGAGAGGGAUGCGGAAUUCCAGGUGUAGCGGUGAAAUGCGUAGAUAUUGGGAGGAACACCAGUGGCGAAGGCGGCUCACUGGACCGGUACUGACGCUGAGGCGCGAAAGCGUGGGGAGCAAACAGGA